rnacentral:snoRNA from 1 species
AGCCUCUUGAUGCCUACUGUAGCUUGCGUUCUCUCAGUGACUACAGAAAAAGGAGAGAUAAGUGUUCUCCACACAUACUGCAGUCUGGGCCCUGUGCCUGCUCUGUAUCAUGAGGAGGGAGGCCUGU